UGGUUCUCGUUAGAUCACCGAAGUCAAGCAUCAUUGGGCGCGGUCAGUACUUGGGUGGGUGACUGCGUG